rnacentral:rRNA from 1 species
UAAAAUAAUAUUUUUGCAUAUCAAUAAGCGGAGGAAAAGAAACCAACAGGGAUUGCCUCAGUAACGGCGAGUGAAGCGGCAAAAGCUCAAAUUUGAAAUCCCCCCGGGGAGUUGUAAUUUGAAGAUUGCGUCUUGGAGGCGACCGUGUCUAUGUUCCUUGGAACAGGACGUCACAGAGGGUGAGAAUCCCGUGCGGCACGGCCCCCGGCUCCUUAUAAGGCGCUCUCGACGAGUCGAGUUGUUUGGGAAUGCAGCUCAAAGUGGGUGGUAAAUUCCAUCUAAAGCUAAAUACAGGCGAGAGACCGAUAGCGAACAAGUACAGUGAUGGAAAGAUGAAAAGCACUUUGAAAAGAGAGUGAAACAGCACGUGAAAUUGUUGAAAGGGAAGGGCAUGCCGUCAGAUUGUCAGUGUGGGUAAGAAGCGGGGUACAAAGACUGUGGAACGUGGCCCUCGGGUGUUAUAGCCGCAGUUCAUGCCCCGUCUCUUUCCGAGGCCUGCUUUGAGGACACCGACGUAAUGACGGUACGCCGCCCGUCUUGAAACACGGACCAACUUGAUUGCAU